GUAUGUAUGUGUGUAUAUAUAUACAUCUAUCUCUAUAUCUAUAUCUAUAUCCAUAUCUAUAUGUCUCACCCAGGAGAGAGUGCAUAUGCGUGAGAGAGAAGCAAGAAGGAAUAAGGAAAACAAAAGUAAAGGGAGUGAGAAGAGGAAGAGUUAAUGAAUAGUUUUCUCUCAUUCUGCUAAAAAUGCCUGUAUGCUCUCUUUUUUCAAUCCAGAAAAUAAAGUCCCAAACUAAUGUGGCACUCUUACAAUUUAAUCAUCAAUUCAUUGUGAACAACUGGAUGAGGAAAAGUUGCCCAGAGUUACCAAAAAUAAAAUUCUUUAGAAAGGAGAAAAGCCAUGCCUUAGGAAAUUGGUAGAAGAUAUGUGAUGGACACAGCAGCUUCUCAUCAAUUGACUUGGUUUUACGUUAAAGGAAACAUGCAAAUCUUUGUAGGUUAAACCACAUAUGAAAUUCAUGAGAGCCUCUUGGGCUUUAGGCACUGACUCUGUGGAAAUACUAGCUGUAAGCUGCUUUCUUAGGGAAGGGAUGUUUAUUCUGUCACGGUGCUACUGAAACAGCUCAAAGUUACCACCUUAGAAAUCUAGCUUUCACCAGGUACUUUAAAAUUCCUUUAAAAAAGUGUAUUUUAUUAAUUUCAUUCAUAAUUUAUUAGCCCUUAAAUUUUUCCAGUAGCAUUUGAUCUGCCAGAGCUUCCAAAUGUAGGAUAUUUUGUACUUCGAAUGCAAACUAGUUGUCUCUUGAAACUGGGUAAUGGGAAAAAUUUAGCACAGAAAUAUCCCUGUGACCAAGUUUCUGAGUAAACGUGCUAGGGGAUUCAGUUGGGUGCUAAGAAUACACGGAAGAAUACACUCAUGCAUCCCUCCUUUGAUUAAUGCAACAAAUAUUUAUUGUCUACUUCGUGUCAGACAUUGUUUGCUUCUUGCUUUAGGGAUUAAGCAGUGAACAAAGCUGUUGAGGACCUUGUCCUUAUGAAGCACAUGUCCAGAGUUAUGGGAAGCAGAAAGAAAAAAAAUACUGCAAAUACUUUAUAUUGUAUGUUGUAAAAUAAAGCAGGACAGGUGGAUCAUACCACUCCUUUGUUUAAAUUCGUCAUUUAUUUCUGUGACUUUAGGAGGGAGUCUAAAUCCCUUGCCUGUAUCCUGGCACUCUGUUUCUUCAGGCUUCUCUCUUGUUGCCCCCAUUCUUACUCAAGGCUGCAACUUUCUCUUUUCUUGGCUUGACCCUAGGACUUUUCAAAUAUACCUCUGAGACCCUUUAUCCUCUGCUCCAUCACUAUCUUGCCUACACCUGGCCAGCUCCCGCUGAACCUUACGUCUCAGCCUAAAUACUGCUCUUUUCAGGAAGUCCCAAAAUUCUCCCUCCAAGUCUGGUUGUGCAUUGUCAUGAGUGGUCCCUUACCACCUGGUACAUCCAUUCAUCUCUUAACAUGGCGCUUGUUGCCCUGUAUUAUGGCACUUGUGUGUGUUUUGUGUGUGUGUUGGGGGGAAGGUGUUGUUUUGUUCUGCUUUUGUUUGACUGGCACACAGUUCAUACUUGAUUAAUGGGUGAAUGGAUAGAUGACAGAGUGGAUGGAUGAAGGAAUGAAUGUGAUAAUGUAAUGUACUCUAUCUGAUACUGGACUUUUUAAGGCUGUAGAGACUCCCAUUCUUUGAGUUCACACCCAAUAGUCCUCCUUUUCCUAAUUCCUCUAACGGUGAGUAAAUUUUCUUAUUAGUGACUCACCAAUUUUUCCCGCAGCAGGUGGACAAAACCUCUUUAGUAGACUAGCCUUUCUUAAGCCAGUGGGGGGAGAAAAGAUUCUAUCUUUUAGGGAAUUGAAGGCUAUGAUGUAAUGUUAAUAGCAUAGGAGAGAGCAGAAGCUUUGCGUGUCUGAAGCAUGGCUCUGUGUUGAAAGCUCUUGAGAACACUAUGCCGGGGGUGCUUUUCUAAAUCAAACUUCAUCCAUGAAAUGUAAUUUGGGGAACUUUCCACGUGGCGCCGUGUGGACUCUGGCAGACAAUAGUAUUUUUAUUUGCUAGUAGUUUUCUUUCGGAGAGGGAGAGUGAUUUCGCUAUUUGGUUUUUUCUUCCAUUUAGUGCUGCAUAAUGCUUAUUAGAGACAAAAUCUUACUACUUCCCUGCUUCGCGUGCUGUAAGCUACCUAAAUGUGUUCUAAGUAUUGUCUUAGAGGGCGUGUGUGUGUGUGUGUGUGUGUGUGUGUGUGUGUGUGUGUGUGUGUGUGUGUGUGUUUAGGAAUUUGAGCCAGCCCCCACCAUUUUCCUGCCCUCCCUGAGGCUGCAGGACUUUAGGAUUUAUUGUAGCCACUCUUAGAAGGACAGUUGCAGUUGUGUCUGUAGAGAGAGCCUAUAAAUAUCAGGGCAUUUGGUAACUGAGAGUAGAGACAACUGUCAUAAUCAUGGGUUCUGCAAAGACUUGAGUCUGCUGGAAGCAGUGUCUUGGGGUCGGCAACAGGCCCUUCAGGAGGAUGGCUGGGGAGGGGUUUGGGGACAAUCAAAAGGACUAUAUUUUGCAACUCGCUUAUUUUCCUGAAAUGAAAUUCAUAGGUUGCCUGUCCUGAGAAAACUCAAAGACAAUGGUGCCAAGGAAGAACAGAAUUUCAUAAAUGAAGAAUGACAGAUGGCACUAAGAGUUCAAGUAAGAAGAGUCUUGGAGAUUCUCAGCAAACAAUCUCAGUUAAGAAAGAGGAAAUGAAGUUAUUUAUGUGACUGAAUUUGCAUAGCAGAGACUACAGUUCCACCAAAUACUCGAUGAGAAAAUGAGUCUCGACUUGCAGAGCCAAGAUGACCAAAUAGGAACAGCUCCAGUCUACAGCUCCCAGCCUGAGCGACGCAGAAGAUGGGUGAUUUCUGCAUUUCCAUCUGAGGUACCGGGUU
rnacentral:lncRNA from 1 species